GGUGAGAUACUCAAGUGGCCAACGAGGGCAGACUGUAAAUCUGCUGAGCUCCGCUCUACGGUGGUUCGAAUCCACCUCUCACCACCA
rnacentral:tRNA from 1 species